GGAUUUUCAGUUUGGCCACUAGGUGGCGAUCGCACUACACCAGUAAAGUAUAGCAGAAGAAGAAAGAAUGAGUCGUUGUCUUCCCGCUGGGCUGCGCCGCCGCCGUGCGGCUCUGAAAGGAGCUGCAGCCCGCCGCUAAUCUGCCCGCAGACGUAAGCCAAGUCCUGUUUGUCCAGAGAGUGCGCCGCAGCCAGGUACGCCGACAGAGUCCCCGCCAACAGCAGCCGGUCCAGAGACAAGGCGGGCAGCAGCCACAGCACCACCGCCAGCUCCACGCACACCGGGUGGCGGUAGUGAGACAGCAGGCGCCGCGCCCGAGAGGGUUUGUGGGACAGGGGGUCCCCCAAGCUGAGACAGUCAUAAUACACCUGAGAGAGCAAACUUUUUAAAUUAUUAAACAUUUAUAUUUUUACUUGUAAACACUUUAAAAUACAAAUUUAAACAAUUAUUCCCAAAUUUAUAGAUUUUUCCACCAGAAAAACAGAAAAACAAACGGUUUCAAACCUGCUUGAUUCCCAGAAGUUCUGGAUAAUCAAAAAUCAUGAGGAUGCUGCAGAUGAUGGCCCAGCAAAGGAAGUGCAGCGUGAAGCAGAGCAGGGGGAACCAGACGCUCCAGGGGGGGUGCCGCACCGACCACAGGCAGGGGGCGCCGGUCACGGGCUGCCACUGGCGCAUCAAGACCUGAAAACAGAUUAAAACAAAAGUGAAAAAAGGGAAGAAGGGAAGAAGGGAAGUUGGUUUGACUGAUCGUUUUAAAUUGAUUUUUUUAAAUUAAAAAAAUGAAAAUUAAGACAUAAAAAGAAUUAUUUCAGUAAAUGCACAAAAAUAUCAAACCCUAAAAUGACAUUAAACGACAAAAAGAUCUAAAAGUGCACAACUUGAACAACACAACUGGACUACAAAAAUUCAAAAAAAUGUUUUAAAAAAUGUAAAUUUACUUUUUUCUUUUUUGUAUUUUUUACAAUAGUUAUAAAUUAGCAUUUUAUUAAAAAAAAUAACUAAGUCAAAUUAGUUAUUGAGCACAAAAAUAAGACAAAUUUAGGUUUUUUUUGCCAUCAAAGUAAAAAAUUUAAACAGUCUGUACUGUAAAUAUAAAAUAAAUAAAUAAAAAUUAAAGUCACAUUUUGCAUUUUAUGUCCCCCUGGUGCUACCUCCCUCGCCUUAACUGCCUGAGUGGGUUGCUUUAGGCCCCUCCCUCUUCCCCUCUGUUCAGGGGCGGAGCUAGAACAUUCAAAUGGGGGCAUUACAAAUGAAAGAAUCAAAAACAAGAGUUUCAAACAGGUUUUUUAUUUUAUUAACCGUUAAAAUAGCAGUUAUUGUUGCUAAGGUGCUAUUUCUAACAUUUAAAACUAAAAUUUAGACAUAAAAAAAUAAUUUUAGUAAAUGCACAAAAAGAUCAAAUCCUAAAACGACAAAAAGAUCUAAAAGUCCAUAACUGGAACAAAACAACUGGACUACAAAAAUACAAAAAAAUUGAGAAAAAAGUAUAUUAACAUAUUUUUGUAAUUUUUACAAUAGUAAUUAAUUAGCAUUUUAUAAAAA